rnacentral:lncRNA from 1 species
CAAUGGAGUGCUGCCCCCUGAGUACCUCACAACAGUGACUGAAAAAGCACCAGGCUUUAUGAUUAUCAGCACUCAAAUCAGCAAAGCUGUAAAAAUAAAUCAGUUCUGUUUCUUUUCGUCUAUUUGCAUCAUGAUCAUAGAAAUCCCGAGUGCAUCAACAAACUUUCAUGGAGAAGGAGAAUUCCGUGGCAGAGAACCUACUCAUAAGAUGUAGCAAAGCAAGGACACCACGCAGAGCUUGCUGUGAUUUCCAGACAGAGGCUCUUAUAUCUGAACAGCCAGAUCAAAAGCCAACUGACUGAGUGCCAGUUCAACAGCUUUAGAGGGUUCUGCCAUCUGCGGAUGAGAGGCUGUCAGCGUUUUUAAUCUCAGCGCAUGGGCUGGGAAGGCAUUACAUCCCCUAAUGGCAGCUACACUGGAAGGACUUGUGGCUUCCUCCUCCUAUGGCAAAGUGGAAUUAUGAAUCUGAACAACAGGCUAUAAAGUAUUUUAUUAUGUGGUCAUAAGUGUCACUUUCUAUGAGGAACAGAGUGGUAAUUUAGUGUGUUAAAUUAUCACUUAGUGAAAUCACAUGUAACAAUGAGCUCUGAACUAACCUUAAUUGAAAUGAUCUCAAAUAUUCAGUGCUUUAGUGCAGGUCUGUUUGUGUAUGUGCAUACACUUGUGAAAUAUUGAUGCUUAAACUCCACUCACGUCUGGACAGCAAAGAAACCUUGGUCUUGUUGUUGCCUAUGGUGCCAGAAGUCCAACUCUUCGGGGCAAGUAAGAGAAAGAAAAAAAGGAAAAGAAAAUCCAAGUAUUAAGAUCUACUUAAGGCAAUAAGAAAUUUAUAAAAUCUAAAAUUAAUAAAGAAUAUCCCCUCACUGAAAACCCUAGAAUU